rnacentral:rRNA from 1 species
GUCAAAUAUAUUAAGGCUUAUGACGGAUACCUAGGCAUUCAGAGGCGAUGAAGGGCGUGGAUACCGACGAAACGCUUCGGGGAGUUGGAAACAAGCGGUGAUCCGAAGAUACCCGAAUGGGGAAACCUGUAAAACUUCUUAUUGAAUUCAUAGAUAAGGAAGAGACAACUUGCUGAAUUGAAACAUCUUAGUAAGCAAAGGAAAAGAAAGCAAACGCGAUUUCCUGAGUAGCGGCGAGCGAAACGGAAACAGCCUAAACCUAUUGAAUUUAUUCAGUAGGGGUCGUGGGAAGAAAUGUCAUAAGGCACAUAAAAAUCGAAAAUCAAGCAGCUGAAUCCUGCACCAAAGAAGGUGAAAGUCCUGUAGUUGAAAGAUUUUUAGGUCUAUUUCUAAUCCCGAGUAGCAUGGGACACGUGAAAUCCCGUGUGAAUUUGCGAGGACCACCUCGUAAGGCUAAAUACUCCUGAAUGACCGAUAGUGAAAUAGUACCGUGAGGGAAAGGUGAAACAGAACCCCCGUAGGGGAGUGAAAAAGAACAUGAAAUCAUAAGCUGACAAACAGUGGGAGCUUAGGUGACCGCGUGCCUGUUGAAGAAUGAGCCGGCGACUUAUAGGGAGUGGCUUGGUUAAGAUGAUCAGUCGGAGCCAAAGCGAAAGCAAGUCUGAAUAGGGCGUUUGUCACUUCUUAUGGACCCGAACCCGAGUGAUCUAACCAUGGCCAGGAUGAAACUUGGGUAACACCAAAUGGAAGACCGAACCGACCGAUGUUGAAAAAUCGGCGGAUGAGCUGUGGUUAGGGGUGAAAUUCCAGUCGAACUCGGAGCUAGCUGGAUCUCCUCGAAAUGUGUUGAGGCGCAGCGGUUGAUGAUGGGUUAUUUAGGGGUAAAGCACUGUUUCGGUGCGGGCUGCGAAAGCGGUACUAAAUCGUCGCAAACUAAGAAUACUAAAUACGCUUUCCAUCAACCAGUAAGACAGUGGGGGAUAAGCUUCAUUGUCAAAAGGGAAACAGCCCAGACCACCAGCUAAGGCCCCUAAAUGGCCGCUAAGUGGCAAAGGAGGUGAAAAGGCCGAGACAACCAGAAGGUUUGCUUAGAAGCAGCCAUCCUUAAAAGAGUGCGUAAUAGCUCACUGGUAGAGCCUUUUUGCGCCGAAAAUGAACGGGACUAAGCGGCCUGCCGAAGCUGUGGGAUUGAAAACAUUUUGAAUCGGUAGAGGAGCGUUCCGCUCUAGGGUGAAGUUUAAACGUGAGUUUGAAUGGACGACGCGGAAGUGAGAAUGUCGGCUUGAGUAACGCAAACAUUGGUGAGAAUCCAAUGUCCCGAAAACCUAAGGGUUCCUUUACAAGGCUCGUCCAUGAAGGGUUAGUCAGGUCCUAAGGCGAGGUCGAAAGGCGUAGUCGAUGGCAAACAGGUUAAUAUUCCUGUACUUUUUUUCAUUUGAUAACGAAGGACGAAGAAGGUUACGGCUAGCAGAGAUUUGGAAUUCUCUGUAGAAAUAAUCAAGUGGCAAUCGAAUAAAAACGAUUGAAAAAACGAGACAUGACAUGCUUUUUUUCUCGGAAAAAAGUUAGCUUACAUCAAACUUCCAAGAAAAGCUCGUAUUAUUUUACAAUGAAAAAAACCUGUACCCGAAACCGACACAGGUAGGUAGGUAGAGAAUACUAAGGGACGCGAGAUAACUCUCUCUAAGGAACUCGGCAAAAUGGCCCCGUAACUUCGGGAGAAGGGGUGGCUACUCGUAAGAGAGCUCGCAGUGACCAGGCCCAGGCGACUGUUUAUCAAAAACACAGGUCUCCGCAAAGUUGUAAAACGAAAUAUGGGGGCUGACGCCUGCCCAGUGCCGGAAGGUAAAGGAAGUUGGUUAUUCGAUAAGAAAAAGCUGACGACCGAAGCCCCGGUAAACGGCGGCUGUAACUCUGACAGUCCUAAGGUAGCGAAAUUCCUUGCCAAGUAAGUUUUGGCCCGCACGAAAGGCGUAACGAUCUGGGCGCUGUCUCGGAGAGAGACUCGGUGAAAUAGACAUGUCUGUGAAGAUGCGGACUACUUAUACCAGGACAGAAAGACCCUAUGAAGCUUGAAGGUAGCUUGGAAUUGGGUUUGGGCUCUUUUUGCGCAGUCUAAGUGGGAGGCGAAGAGGAUACGGUUUCGGCUUUAUCUGAGCCAUCAGUGAGAGACCACUCUAAAAGAGCUAGAAUCCUAAUAGGACUCCUUGAAACAGGAUCCUUGACCGUUUCAGGCGGACCUUUUUUCUGGGGCGGAUGCCUGCUAAAAGGUAACGGAGGUGUGCAAAGGUUCCCUCAGGCUGGACGGAAAUCAGCUGUAGAGUGUAAAGGUAGAAGGGAGCUUGACUGCAAGACCUACAAGUCGAGCAGGGGCGAAAGCCGGCCUUAGUGAUCCGACGGUACCAAGUGGAAGGGCCGUCGCUCAACGGAUAAAAGUUACUCUAGGGAUAACAGGCUGAUCUCCCCCAAGAGUUCGCAUCGACGGGGAGGUUUGGCACCUCGAUGUCGGCUCAUCGCAACCUGGGGCUGUAGUCGGUCCCAAGGGUUGGGCUGUUCGCCCAUGAAAGCGGUACGUGAGCUGGGUUCAGAACGUCGUGAGACAGUUCGGUCCAUAUCCGGUAUAAGCGCAAGAGCAUUGAGAGGAGCUCAACAUUGUACGAGAGGACCCGAAGGGACGUACCGAUGGUGUACCAGUUCUUGUGCCAACAGGAAACGCUGGGUAGCUAAGUACGGAGUGGAUAAUCGCUGAAAGCAUCUAAGUGAGAAGCCUACCUCAAGAUGAAUGCUCUUUAUUAGAUCGCGGCAAGACAAGCCGAUAAUAGGCGCCAAGUGUAAGAUCUGUAAGGGUUUGAGCUGAGGCGUACUAAGAGAUCAAUCAAUUUUGAC